rnacentral:rRNA from 1 species
CCGAUUGACUAAGGUUUCCAGAGGAAGGCUCGUCCGCUCUGGGUUAGUCGGGGCCUAAGCUGAGGCCGACAGGCGUAGGCGAUGGAUAACAGGUUGAUAUUCCUGUACCACCUAUAAUCGUUUUAAUCGAUGGGGGGACGCAGUAGGAUAGGCGAAGCGUGCGAUUGGAUUGCACGUCUAAGCAGUAAGGCUGAGUAUUAGGCAAAUCCGGUACUCGUUAAGGCUGAGCUGUGAUGGGGAGAAGACAUUGUGUCUUCGAGUCGUUGAUUUCACACUGCCGAGAAAAGCCUCUAGAUAGAAAAUAGGUGCCCGUACCGCAAACCGACACAGGUAGUCAAGAUGAGAAUUCUAAGGUGAGCGAGCGAACUCUCGUUAAGGAACUCGGCAAAAUGACCCCGUAACUUCGGGAGAAGGGGUGCUCUUUAGGGUUAACGCCCAGAAGAGCCGCAGUGAAUAGGCCCAAGCGACUGUUUAUCAAAAACACAGGUCUCUGCUAAACCGUAAGGUGAUGUAUAGGGGCUGACGCCUGCCCGGUGCUGGAAGGUUAAGAGGAGUGGUUAGCUUCUGCGAAGCUACGAAUCGAAGCCCCAGUAAACGGCGGCCGUAACUAUAACGGUCCUAAGGUAGCGAAAUUCCUUGUCGGGUAAGUUCCGACCCGCACGAAAGGCGUAACGAUUUGGGCACUGUCUCAACGAGAGACUCGGUGAAAUCAUAGUACCUGUGAAGAUGCAGGUUACCCGCGACAGGACGGAAAGACCCCGUGGAGCUUUACUGUAGCCUGAUAUUGAAAUUCGGCACAGCUUGUACAGGAUAGGUAGGAGCCUUUGAAACGUGAGCGCUAGCUUACGUGGAGGCGCUGGUGGGAUACUACC